rnacentral:tRNA from 1 species
GGGGAUGUAGCUCAGCUGGUAGAGCGCCUGCUUUGCAAGCAGGAAGUCAGGGGUUCGAGUCCCCUCAUCUCCA